CCUACGGGUGGCUGCAGUGGGGAAUAUUGGACAAUGGGCGAAAGCCUGAUCCAGCCAUGCCGCGUGUGUGAAGAAGGCCUUCGGGUUGUAAAGCACUUUCAGUGGGGAAGAAAGCCUUGGGGCUAAUACCCUCGAGGAAGGACAUCACCCACAGAAGAAGCACCGGCUAACUCCGUGCCAGCAGCCGCGGUAAUACGGAGGGUGCGAGCGUUAAUCGGAAUUACUGGGCGUAAAGCGCGCGUAGGCGGUCUGAUAAGCCUGUUGUGAAAGCCCCGGGCUCAACCUGGGAACGGCAUCCGGAACUGUCAGGCUAGAGUGCAGGAGAGGAAAGUAGAAUUCCCGGUGUAGCGGUGAAAUGCGUAGAGAUCGGGAGGAAUACCAGUGGCGAAGGCGGCCUUCUGGACUGACACUGACGCUGAGGUGCGAAAGCGUGGGUAGCAAACAGGAUUAGAUACCCCAGUAGUC
rnacentral:rRNA from 1 species